UACGUAGGGUGCAAGCGUUUAAUCGGAAUUACUGGGCGUAAAGCGCGUGUAGGCUGCUCGGAAAGUCGCGUGUGAAAGCUCCCGGCUCAACUGGGAGAGGUCCUUGCAUACUGGCGAACUCGAGGGAGGCAGAGGAAAGUGGAAUUCCCGGUGUAGUGGUGAUAUGCGUAGAUAUCGGGAGGAACACCUGUGGCGAAGGCGGCUUUCUGGGCCUUACCUGACGCUGAGACGCGAAAGCGUGGGGAGCGAACCGG
rnacentral:rRNA from 1 species